rnacentral:rRNA from 1 species
UACGGGGGGGGCAAGCGUUGUUCGGAAUUACUGGGCGUAAAGGGCUCGUAGGUGGCCAACUAAGUCAGACGUGAAAUCCCUCGGCUUAACCGGGGAACUGCGUCUGAUACUGGAUGGCUUGAGAUUGGGAGAGGGAUGCGGAAUUCCAGGUGUAGCGGUGAAAUGCGUAGAUAUCUGGAGGAACACCGGUGCGAAGGCGGCAGUCCUGGACCAACACUGACGCUGAGGAGCGAAAAGCCAGGGGAGCCAA